ensembl:snoRNA small nucleolar RNA SNORA18
UUUGAGGUCUAUCCUGAUGUGGUUUACCAAGUGACUACACAUUGCUGGAAAUGCUUCAUAUAGUAGCUCGUGGAUUUACCUGACUCAGCGGACUGCUUAUUAGGUCUAUGGAAAAGAGGAGCUACUAAAAAAUA